rnacentral:rRNA from 1 species
CUGCAAUCAGUGAAACUGAUCUCCCCGUGAAGAAGCGGGGAUUAAUAUAUAAGACGAGAAGACCCCAUGAAGCUUUAAAUUAAAUAUUAACUGUUAACUCAACACCAAUUUAACUUAACAGACCUAAUUAUUAAUUUUAGGUUGGGGUGACCACGGAGUAAAAUAAAACCUCCACAAUGAAAAGACCUAAAUCCCUUAUCCAAGAGGAACAACUCUAAUAAUCAAUAUAUUGACAUAACUUGACCCAAUCCUUGAUCAAUGAACCAAGUUACUCUGGGGAUAACAGCGCAAUCCAUUUUAAGAGCCCAUAUCGACAAAUGGGUUUACGACCUCGAUGUUGGAUCAGGGUAUCCCAGUGGUGCAACCGCUACUAAAG